GACGAACGCUGGCGGCGUGCUUAACACAUGCAAGUCGAACGGAAAGGCCCUGCUUUUGUGGGGUGCUCGAGUGGCGAACGGGUGAGUAACACGUGAGUAACCUGCCCUUGACUUUGGGAUAACUUCAGGAAACUGGGGCUAAUACCGGAUAGGAGCUCCUGCUGCAUGGUGGGGGUUGGAAAGUUUCGGCGGUUGGGGAUGGACUGGCGGCUUAUCGGCUUGUUGGUGGGGUAGUGGCUUACCAAGGCUUUGACGGGUAGCCGGCCUGGGAGGGUGACCGGCCACAUUGGGACUGAGAUACGGCCCAGACUCGUACGGGAGGCAGCAGUGGGGAAUAUUGCACAAUGGGCGGAAGCCUGAUGCAGCAACGCCGCGUGCGGGAUGACGGCCUUCGGGUUGUAAACCGCUUUCGCCUGUGACGAAGCGUGAGUGACGGUAAUGGGUAAAGAAGCACCGGCUAACUACGUG
rnacentral:rRNA from 1 species